CAAGUCGAGGGGCAGCACAGGUAGUAAUACUGGGUGGCGACCGGCAAACGGGUGCGGAACACGUACACAACCUUCCUUUUGGUGGGGGAUAGCCUUUGGAAACGGAGAUUAAUACCCCAUAAUACAUUUGAACUGCAUAGUUUUUAUGUUAAAGAUUUAUCGCCGGAAGAUGGGUGUGCGUAUGAUUAGGUAGUUGGUAGGGUAACGGCCUACCAAGCCGACGAUCAUUAACUGGUGUGAGAGCACGACCAGUCACACGGGCACUGAGACACGGGCCCGACUCCUACGGGAGGCAGCAGUAAGGAAUAUUGGUCAAUGGACGGAAGUCUGAACCAGCCAUGCCGCGUGGAGGAUGAAGGUCCUCUGGAUUGUAAACUUCUUUUAUAGGGGGCGAAAAAAGGGAAUUCUUUCUCGUCUGACGGUACCCCAUGAAUAAGCACCGGCUAACUCCGUGCCAGCAGCCGCGGUAAUACGGAGGGUGCAAGCGUUAUCCGGAUUCACUGGGUUUAAAGGGAGCGUAGGCGGGCAUUUAAGUCCGUGGUGAAAGCCCUCAGCUCAACUGAGGAACUGCCAUGGAUACUAUUUGUCUUGAAUGUCGUUGAGGUUUGCGGAAUGGGUCAUGUAGCGGUGAAAUGCUUAGAUAUGACCCGGAACACCAAUUGCGAAGGCAGCAGGCUAAACGAAUAUUGACGCUGAGGCUCGAAAGCGUGGGGAUCAAACAGGAUUAGAUACCCUGGUAGUCCACGCCCUAAACGAUGAUUACUCGACAUACGUGAUAUGACAAUGUGUGUCUGAGCGAAAGCAUUAAGUAAUCCACCUGGGAAGUACGACCGCAAGGUUGAAACUCAAAGGAAUUGACGG
rnacentral:rRNA from 1 species